rnacentral:rRNA from 1 species
UGGGGAAUAUUGCACAAUGGGCGAAAGCCUGAUGCAGCAACGCCGCGUGAGUGAUGAAGGCCUUCGGGUUGUAAAGCUCUGUCUUCUGGGACGAUAAUGACGGUACCAGAGGAGGAAGCCACGGCUAACUACGUGCCAGCAGCCGCGGUAAUACGUAGGUGGCAAGCGUUGUCCUGAUUUACUGGGCGUAAAGGAUGCGUAGGCGGAUACUUAAGUCAGAUGUGAAAAUCCCGGGCUUAACUUGGGAACUGCAUUUGAAACUGGGUAUCUAGAGUGCGGGAGAGGAAAGUGGAAUUCCUAGUGUAGCGGUGAAAUGCGUAGAGAUUAGGAAGAACACCAGUGGCGAAGGCGACUUUCUGGACCGUAACUGACGCUGAGGCAUGAAAGCGUGGGGAGCAAACA